rnacentral:rRNA from 1 species
GAUGAACGCUAGCGGCAGGCCUAACACAUGCAAGUCGAGGGGCAGCACGUCUUCGGAUGGUGGCGACCGGCGCACGGGUGCGUAACGCGUAUAGAACCUACCUUUUACAGGGGGAUAGCCUUUAGAAAUGAAGAUUAAUAUCCCAUGGUAUUAUAGAUUGGCAUCAAUUUAUAAUUAAAGAUUUAUCGGUAAAAGAUGGCUAUGCGUCCUAUUAGUUAGAUGGUAAGGUAACGGCUUACCAUGACUAUGAUAGGUAGGGGUCCUGAGAGGGAGAUCCCCCACACUGGUACUGAGACACGGACCAG